UUCACGUGUUUGUUACAUUAUAAUAUAUCCAGCUAAACGUAUUUCAAGGAAAUUUACUUACACAACCAUGGGAUAAGUACAUUUUAUUCUAACAAAAUUUCAUAUUUCUUACAUAUUUGAAACAAUAUUAAAGGCAUUCUCUGGAAUGAACUGUGUGUAGAAUAAUAUACCUAAUUCCAAAAGGGAAUAAUGCUUAAAUUACUAAAAUAAAGAUAAAUAAGUAGAAGAGAAAAACAUAUUGACGUCCUCAAAUGACUGGGAUAAGAGCAGGGUGAUGAUAAAUAUGAUAUUAUUAUUUAAUUUUUUAGUGAUCAGCUAGAUUGGAUUUUGCCGUAUAGCUUGUCGAAACAUAUGUAUGAGUAACUGAACUGAUCCCGUUAGAAGGAAUACAGGAGAACACCAAGGAAGCAACUGCGCAAAUACCCAAGUAAAGGCUGGCUGGCUCUGUCUCUGCAAAUGCCUCUGGCUAUUAUAUGUGUAGACUGUUGUCAUUAUGAUACAAGAAGUACGGCGGUAACUUCAUGGAAAUACUGAUAUGAGGAAUUGACCACAUGGUGCCUUUGAGCAACCUGAGGUGCUAAAAUUCAUCAUGGAUAGAUAUUGACUAAUACACAAUUUAAAUGUCCAAUUUUUAUUUUAUAAUAAUAUUAAUGACACAUUUUAUAAGGAAUUUACGGGAAAUCGUAAUUUAUAUACAUUAAAUGAAUUUAUAUUUAUUAAGAUCGAUUCUGAAGCACCUUUUCUCUAACUUAGCUCUUAAUCUAAUAUUUGAAAUUGAUAAUUCCACGAAAUGUUUAUUUUAUAGACCAUCAUAAACUAAAUUUAUGAUAAUUUUGACUUAAACCUAAUAGAUAUUUAUUUUAUAUUGAUCCUUAAACUUAUUAUGACGCUGUGAUGUUAAGUUAAAAUUUGAAAGAUGAAAUGGUGCCACAGAAUCGAACCUAUUGUGUUUUUGUUUAUGCGAUUUAUAAUGACAAUCUGAUAACCUGUUAAAAGUGGUAACCAUCGCAUACAAAUAUGCUGUGCAUUCCUUGUUCUUGGUGCGGUUCAUGAUAUUACGUAUUGCCAUCCCUGCUAAGGUUUUAUAAUUCUUUUGUCAUAUGCCACCUCCUUGGCGCGUAUAUAUAUGAGACAACACGCAACAUGGCUAUCUAUUUUAUAGACUAAUGAUAAUAUUAAAGUAUUCAUUUUUACUAGACGAAUAUAAUAAUUAUUUAAGUAAAUUGUAUAAGGUUUCUCAUGUUGUCAUAAAAAAUGUAGUAGCCUUUAAUGGAACAAAGAAGCCAUGACGAAUAUGUAUUGUAAAUUGAGCUAAAUAAAUUAAAAAAAAAAAAACAAUAAGAAAUUAUUAUUUUUAUUAAAUAUAAAAUAUUUUCGAUUGACUUACAAUAAUAUAACAAUAUAUAAAAUUGUGUCUCUCGUACAAUGCUACUGUAACAUCAAGUUUAACAAUCGAGCAAGCACUACUGAAGGUAACUAGAAACUCUUUGCCAAAAGCAACAAACUGUACAUUUUCACAUCCUGAAUCUGUCUUUAUUGUAAGUAAAAUUAAUUGAUUAUUAAUUUUAUUUGUU